CAGGCACUCCAAAACUGGCACCCGACCCCCGCUGGGUUGAGGUGUAUGAUCCGGUGCCCAGACCG
rnacentral:snoRNA from 1 species